UGCAGCUUUGUCAAAUUCAGUGCUGCCCCAUUAGUGGCAUGUGCUGGCCAAAACGGCUGCAACAGUGACUUUGUAGUUCAUGGGCCCCACAUUUUUUUGAUCAUGGAAUGUGGGGAUAAAUAUGCACUGCAGACAAAA